AUGCAUCUAUUUGACAGACCCAGGGCAGUUGCUGUCUGCUGCUUAGGUCUUUACUACAGGUGCAAGAAAAAGUAUCUUUGAGCUGUCUGAUUGUGCUAGCCAAGAUUGAAUAGGGGAAUACAGGG
rnacentral:snoRNA from 1 species